AAACGCCACUGGAAAUCCCCAAAGAAGUCUCCUCGGAUGAGGAAGAAGAGAUGCCCCACUUCCUCUCCAUCCUGGAUGAGUGGCAGGCAGAGGUCUCGGACUCAGACGACGGCGAUUGGGGAUCCAACGCCUACGUCACAGAGACCUUUCUGGGUGAGCCCCAGACGAAAGGGGAUGCAGAGUCUCCCACGAUGACCGCUACCCAAGAACAGGAGACCUUCAUGGAUACCACGGGACAAUGCAUGUUUAACCCCAGAAAUAUACACCAUCCUCGCUCAGGGGAAUGGGCUCCACCCAACCACCUCAUGAAAUUUAUGCGUUACUGGAUUCGCAAGCCGCUGGAGAAACCCGUUCGCAAAAGGAUGCGGGCAGAGUGCCCUCGACCUUCCCUGCCAGACAAGGUGGCGUUUAUACC